rnacentral:lncRNA from 1 species
GGUACCAAAGUUAAAUCGGGAUCGCACAAACCAUCUAAAUAGUUCCAUAACUCCUAAAGAAAUAGAAGCAGUUAUUACAAGUUUCCCAACUGAAAAAAUCCCAGAACUAGAUAGGUUUAAUGCAGAAUUCUAUCAGAACUUUAUAGAAGAACUAAAACCAAUACUGUCCAAAUCAUUCGACAAAACAGAAACAGAAGGAACAUUACCUAAUUCCUUCUAUGAAGCCACAAUUACGCUUAUACCUAAACCACACAAAGACCCAACAAAGAAAGAGAAA